AGAUUGGUAUAUUCAUCUAUAACUAUAUAUAAUUAUUUUUCCGAAAGAAUCCGAAGAUUUCCGAUCAAACGUUUCUGACGUCUGAUUACAAUUUCUUAAGAUUAGUACGCAAGCAUGUUUGGAUACAAUGUUGUUUAGUUGAUACAAGACAUAUGAAGACAAUACAGGAAAGGAAAUACAGAAUGCUUAGAAGAAAGUUAUAUCGAUGGCAAGAGCAGAUGUUGAUCACACCACCUCUUCUUCACCAUAUGUGCCAUACAGUAGAUCCACUUGACGAUAGCUUAAGCCAAGACAGAUCUUCAUUUUGAACUAUGCUCAACAAGUUAUGCUACCCACAGUCUGAAUCGAAAAGCGUUGAAGAAUUAUUUCUGUUUUUUCUGAGUGUGUUAGAGAUAUAAUAAAGAGGGGUGCAAGUUUGAGGACUACUUCAACCGAUCCAGCCACUGAGUUGUCCAUUAAGAUUCGGCAGCGUCAUUCCAAAGCGAGACAAUCUAGAACAACUGUUAUGGUGGAAAAUGAGAACUCUCAGUCAAUUUUGAUUACAAUGUGGCUUAACUGUUUUUUGUAACUUGUUUUUUUUUUUUUUUUCGAUGUAGUGAACUUAAUCUCAUUGUUUUACUUCUCAUUCUGACUGAAAACAUGUGUGUUCAUAAAAAUUUUAUACUUUUAAAAAAAUGUGCUCUGAAAGUAGCACACACCUCAAA